CUGUUUGGGCUUGUUCUGACGGCACCCAUUCACUGCAGAGGAUCCAUUGGUGAGCAAGUGAUAUAAUGCUACAUUUCCUCAAAACUGUUCCAAUGAAGAAAUGCUCAUCUACAGCUUGGAUGGCCUUAUAUAGAGAUGAGGGGGAGGCGUGCUGACGUUGACCCAGAAGUGAAGUGAUGCGUGGAGGACAGACAGCAGUAACAGCAAGAGAGAACAGGUUGCUUAACAGUUGCUUUUCUACAGGCCAAAUUAAAGUCAUUUUGUGACUGACAUGACUAAUUCAGUACUCCGAAAGCUGGCUGUUGAUUGGUUCCCCUCAG